rnacentral:rRNA from 1 species
UACGAAGGGGGCUAGCGUUGCUCGGAAUCACUGGGCGUAAAGCGCACGUAGGCGGCUUAUUAAGUCAGAGGUGAAAUCCUGGAGCUCAACUCCAGAACUGCCUUUGAUACUGAUGAGCUUGAGUUCGGGAGAGGUGAGUGGAACUGCGAGUGUAGAGGUGAAAUUCGUAGAUAUUCGCAAGAACACCGAUGGCGAAGGCAGCUCUCUGGGACGGUACUGACGCUGAGACGCGAAAGCGUGGGGAGCGAACAGG